UUUUAGUUGAGAGUUUGAUCCUGGCUUAGGAUAAACUCUGGCGGCGUGCCUAACACAUGCAAGUUGAGCGAUUUACUUCGGUAAAGAGCGGCGGACGGGUGAGUAACGCGUGGGUAACCUACCCUGUACACACGGAUAACAUACCGAAAGGUAUGCUAAUACGGGAUAAUAUAGUUGAGAGGCAUCUCUUAAAUAUCAAAGGUGAGCCAGUACAGGAUGGACCCGCGUCUGAUGAGUUAGUUGGUAAGGUAACGGCUUACCAAGGCGACGAUCAGUAGCCGACCUGAGAGGGUGAUCGGCCACAUUGGAACUGAGACACGGUACAAACUCCUACGGGAGGCAGCAGUGGGGAAUAUUGCACAAU
rnacentral:rRNA from 1 species